AAAUAAUUUCAUACUGUGAUUUACAUCUUUUUUUUCACAUUACACCAAGGAGUAAAGUUGGAGUUGUCAUUAUUUAUAGGUUAUUAUGCUAUUAUUUCACUUGAUAUCACACUGAGUUGUAUGUUGCCCCUGAACACCCUUGACUGUUAAUUUAGUGCACUUUGCAGACUCAUUC